GGAGUCUGGACCGUAUCUCAGUUCCAAUGUGGCCGUUCAACCUCUCAGUCCGGCUACUGAUCGUCGACUAGGUGGGCCGUUACCUCACCUACUAUCUAAUCAGACGCGAGCCCAUCUGUCUGCAAUAUAUCUUUGGCACGAUCACCAUGCGAUGUCCGUGCGUCAUGCGGUAUUAGCACAAGUUUCCCUGUGUUAUCCCUCACAAACAGGAAGGUUGCUCACGCGUUACUCACCCGUCCGCCACUAAGUCAAAGUCAAUUCCAUCCGAAGACUUCCUCGACAGUGCUUCGUUCGACUUGAAUGUGUUAUGCACGCCGCCAGCGUUCAUC
rnacentral:rRNA from 1 species